UACAGAGGGUGCAAGCGUUGUCCGGAAUCAUUGGGCGUAAAGCGCGUGUAGGCGGCUCGCUAAGUCUGCUGUGAAAGUCCAGGGCUCAACCCUGGGAUGCCGGUGGAUACUGUCGAGCUCGAGUCCGGAAGAGGAGUGUGGAAUUCCUGGUGUAGCGGUGAAAUGCGCAGAUAUCAGGAGGAACACCAAUGGCGAAGGCAGCACUCUGGGACGUGACUGACGCUGAGACGCGAAAGCGUGGGGAGCAAACAGG
rnacentral:rRNA from 1 species